rnacentral:lncRNA from 1 species
GAAACGUUGGUGGUUUGUAUCUAAUUUUGUAAUAUUUCUAACGAAUUUUUUGAUACAAUUAAAUUCUUUUUAGAAACUGUUAAAAAUUAAAGAAAAUUCCAGUUAGUAAUUGUUAAGAUAAAAAGAAACAUGGUAGAAGUCCAAGGACAGUUGACCAGUUUUAAUAUACUGUAUAGAGUUAAAAACUAGUCAUGCACGACAGAUUUAUUGCAAGAAAUUAUUAAUUCACAGUAAAGAAACUAUCAUAAAGAAAAAUGUUUCUUUUUCUUUUUCCUCGAUUUCGCAGAAAACAUAAUCAUUAAGGUGGACGAUGAUAUAUCGAAAAUCUUUCAUUUCAAUAUAAGUAAAAAAUGGCGCACUUUUAUCGACAUGGUUACAAGUUUUUUUGUUUGUAGAUUCUGUGAAUACUUUUGUGACAUAAUACUUUAGCAUGCGAGCGAUGUAGUAUUUAAUUUGGGUUGUACACACGACAUACAACGUGUGAGAUUAAUAUGUUUAAAUGCAGGAUCUGUAUUAAUAUGGUGGAAGAAAAAACGUGGAAAGGCGUACAGAACGUGACGAGAUGUUAACUUAUAAUAAGCUUUCUUUACAAUACACACGUAAAAAUCUGUAUUUUUUAAAAGUAGAUAGGUCAGAGGAUAAGGUAGACUACUUUAUCCUUGAAAUGUUGAACUCGAAAUACAAGUUCUUCGAAGGUUUGUUCUCUUCAAUGACUCCCGUAUAAAUUGAAUGUGACUCUAUUACAGAUCGACUCGUUACCCACGUAACUGCUUUUUUCGGUGCACUCAUUUACUCUCUAAAAAUCUUUAAAUAUUUCUAAAAAAAUCGGCAUUUGCAUCUAACAUAUUUUAUAACAUAUUUAUUACUUUGAAACACGUGUAAUGUUUAGAAAUGCAAAAUAGAAAUUCGGUACUGAAUAUCGAUUGAUGGUCUGAAUAUAUCUGUUUGUUAGAUUCGUACGUUGCAUGGGAAUUUGCUAUGAUUCUUAGCCGAUGCCUGAACGUUCGAUCAUAAAUGCACUUUAUCAAAUCAAUUAUAUUUGCAAGUUUAUGCUAUUACGGUGAUAAUUUCCUGUUUUAAACUGUCGACAGCUCCGUGAUUUGCAUUUUCUGCUUUUACGAAUGCCGCUAGAUAUUCGGGAUAAUUGAGGAUCUUAGCAUCGGAAUUUUAGUCAUUUUACGAGCCAAAUCGUUUUAAAACAUUACUCCAGAAGAAAAGAUUAGGAGCGAAUACUUUCUUAAUGCUUAAAAAAAAAUUAGUUCUUUAUUUUUCUGGUCAUACAGAGAUUUCCUUCCUAGAUAAGAUGCGAGUCAUAAAUAUACGUUUUUGUCUACAGCCUGGCGUGGCAGAAGUAGAAUUUCAAGAGAUGUAUAACGUCCGAUUAGAAAGUAACAAAAAAAAAGCAGUUUUAUGCAAAGUUAAGAAUUUAUAUUCCACGGAGGACGACAUUUUUGAAACUAACCUAAAGCUAUCACAAUUAUGUUUGGAAAAAUAGAGUAAAUAACUUAGAAUUAAUUAAGUUUAAGAAUAGCCUUGUUAACCGCGUAUAUAGG